rnacentral:rRNA from 1 species
GACGAACGCUGGCGGCGUGCCUAACACAUGCAAGUCGAGCGAGAACGCCUCCUUCGGGAGGUUAGUAAAGCGGCGAACGGGUGAGUAACACGUGAGCGAUCUACCCGGCGGCGGGGGAUAACUCAGGGAAACUUGAGCUAAUACCGCAUACAGCACUGGCUUGGAAGCUGGAUGUGAAAGCUGGCCUCUCGAAGAAGCUGGCACCGUCGGAUGAGCUCGCGGCCUAUCAGCUAGUUGGUGGGGUAACGGCCUACCAAGGCGAUGACGGGUAGCUGGCGUGAGAGCGUGGCCAGCCACACUGGGACUGAGACACGGCCCAG